UUCAACAACAACAAAAAAAAUCUGUUAGCUAUCAAAUUCCCUGGGAUCUCCAUCUGCACCUUACUCCACCAUCCCUAACUGAAUUGGGGGAGGGAGCAAAAAGGGAGGACAGAUUUUUUUCUGCACAAAGAUCUUUCUUUGUAAAAAAAGAAAAAAAGGGGGGGAGAAGGCAAAGAGUCUUGCUUGUCUAACCCCAAUGUUCUCUUUUGUCUGGAUCCCCCUUUGAACCCAUCGCCACCACAUUCAGUUAACUCUAUCGCGGCCGCCACAGGCAGAAAGUGCAUUUCCACCACUUUCUCUCGGGUGAGCUCUGUCUUUCUGACUUAGGGGGAUGGAUAUUCCUGGAUGGAAUAUAAUGGUUUGGCCGGCUCUUUAAGAAACCUUAUCCCCCACGUCACCUCUCUCCCCGAAAGGCCAAUGGCAGAAGAAAUGGGGAAACCCUGGGAUUGUGGUUUUCUUUUCGCCCUCUUGCAGAAGGAGGAGGAGCAGGAGAAGAAGAAGAAGAUGGAGAAGAAGAAGAACGGUGCAACUUACGUAUAUCCUCAUCCUGACAUUUGACAACUGCUAAUAAAAUGACUUGCGUGGCUGCUA